rnacentral:hammerhead_ribozyme from 1 species
ACUAGGCUGAAGAGUCUCAAAUAGGACGAAAUGAGCAUCCUGGAU